UGGGGAAUAUUGCACAAUGGGCGAAAGCCUGAUGCAGCGACGCCGCGUGAGGGAUGACGGCCUUCGGGUUGUAAACCUCUUUCAGCAGGGAAGAAGCGAAAGUGACGGUACCUGCAGAAGAAGCGCCGGCUAACUACGUGCCAGCAGCCGCGGUAAUACGUAGGGCGCAAGCGUUGUCCGGAAUUAUUGGGCGUAAAGAGCUCGUAGGCGGUUAGUCGCGUCUGCUGUGAAAACUCGAGGCUCAACCUCGGGCUUGCAGUGGGUACGGGCUGACUAGAGUGCAGUAGGGGUGACUGGAAUUCCUGGUGUAGCGGUGGAAUGCGCAGAUAUCAGGAGGAACACCGAUGGCGAAGGCAGGUCACUGGGCCGCAACUGACGCUGAGGAGCGGAAAGCAUGGGGAGCGAACAGGAUUAGAGUACCCUGGUAGUCCAUGCCGUAAACGUUGGGCACUAGGUGUGGGGUCCA
rnacentral:rRNA from 1 species